CGAGCGAACAGACGAGGAGCUUGCUCCUUUGACGUUAGCGGCGGACGGGUGAGUAACACUUAUGUAACCUACCUAUAAGACUGGGAUAACUUCGGGAAACCGGAACUAAUACCGGAUAAUAUUUCGAACCGCAUGGUUCGAUAGUGAAAGAUGGCUUUGCUAUCACUUAUAGAUGGACCUGCGCCGNAUUAGCUAGUUGGUAAGGGAACGGCUUACCAAGGCAACGAUACGUAGCCGACCUGAGAGGGUGAUCGGCCACACUGGAACUGAGACACGGNCCAGACUCCUACGGGAGGCAGCAGUAGGGAAUCUUCCGCAAUGGGCGAAAGCCUGACGGAGCAACGCCGCGUGAGUGAUGAAGGUCUUCGGAUCGUAAAACUCUGUUAUUAGGGAAGAACAAACGUGUAAGUAACUGUGCACGUCUUGACGGGACCUAAUCAGAAAGCCACGGCUAACUACGUGCCAGCAGCCGCGGAAAUACGUAGGUGGCAAGCGUUAUCCGGAAGAUAUGGGCGCAAAGCGCGCGUAGGCGGUUUUUUAGUCUGAUGUGAAAGCCCACGGCUCAACCGUGGAGGGUCAUUGGAAACUGGAAAACUUGAGUGCAGAAGAGGAAAGUGGAAUUCCAUGUGUAGCGGUGAAAUGCGCAGAGAUAUGGAGGAACACCAGUGGCGAAGGCGACUUUCUGGUCUGUAACUGACGCUGAUGUGCGAAAGCGUGGGGAUCAAACAGGAUUAGAUACCCUGGUAGUCCACGCCGUAAACGAUGAGUGCUAAGUGUUAGGGGGUUUCCGCCCCUUAGUGCUGCAGCUAACGCAUUAAGCACUCCGCCUGGGGAGUACGACCGCAAGGUUGAAACUCAAAGGAAUUGACGGGGACCCGCACAAGCGGUGGAGCAUGUGGUUUAAUUCGAAGCAACGCGAAGAACCUUACCAAAUCUUGACAUCCUUUGACCCUUCUAGAGAUAGAAGUUUCCCCUUCGGGGGACAAAGUGACAGGUGGUGCAUGGUUGUCGUCAGCUCGUGUCGUGAGAUGUUGGGUUAAGUCCCGCAACGAGCGCAACCCUUAAGCUUAGUUGCCAUCAUUAAGUUGGGCACUCUAAGUUGACUGCCGGUGACAAACCGGAGGAAGGUGGGGAUGACGUCAAAUCAUCAUGCCCCUUAUGAUUUGGGCUACACACGUGCUACAAUGGACAAUACAAAGGGCAGCGAAACCGCGAGGUCAAGCAAAUCCCAUAAAGUUGUUCUCAGUUCGGAUUGUAGUCUGCAACUCGACUACAUGAAGCUGGAAUCGCUAGUAAUCGUAGAUCAGCAUGCUACGGUGAAUACGUUCCCGGGUCU
rnacentral:rRNA from 1 species